rnacentral:tRNA from 1 species
AGCUGUAUAGUUUAAAAUAAAAUUUUUAUUUGUGGUAUAAAAGAUAUAUUGCGGCUA